AUACGUAGGGUGCAAGCGUUAAUCGGAAUUACUGGGCGUAAAGCGUGCGCAGGCGGUUUUGUAAGACAGAGGUGAAAUCCCCGGGCUCAACCUGGGAACUGCCUUUGUGACUGCAAGGCUAGAGUACGGCAGAGGGGGAUGGAAUUCCGCGUGUAGCAGUGAAAUGCGUAGAUAUGCGGAGGAACACCGAUGGCGAAGGCAAUCCCCUGGGCCUGCACUGACGCUCAUGCACGAAAGCGUGGGGAGCAAACAGGAUUAGAUACCCUGGUAGUCCACGCCCUAAACGAUGUCAACUGGUUGUUGGGGAUUUAUUUUCUCAGUAACGAAGCUAACGCGUGAAGUUGACCGCCUGGGGAGUACGGCCGCAAGGUUGAAACUCAAAUGAAUUGGCGGGG
rnacentral:rRNA from 1 species